rnacentral:rRNA from 1 species
GACAGAGGGGGCAAGCGUUGCUCGGAAUUACUGGGCGUAAAGGGCGCGUAGGCGGGCUGGCAAGUCGGUCGUGAAAUCCCUCGGCUCAACUGAGGAUCGUCGAUCGAUACUGCCGUUCUUGAGGAUUGCAGAGGAGACUGGAAUUCCCGGUGUAGCGGUGAAAUGUGUAGAGAUCGGGAGGAACACCGGUGGCGAAGGUGGGUCUCUGGGCAAUUCCUGACGCUGAGGCGCGAAAGCGUGGGGAGCAAACGGG